rnacentral:rRNA from 1 species
UUGGGAAUCUUGGACAAUGGGGGAAACCCUGAUCCAGCCAUGCCGCGUGAGUGAUGAAGGCCUUCGGGUUGUAAAACUCUUUCGACGGGGACGAUAAUGACGGUACCCGUAGAAGAAGCUCCGGCUAACUUCGUGCCAGCAGCCGCGGUAAUACGAAGGGGGCUAGCGUUGUUCGGAAUUACUGGGCGUAAAGCGCGCGCAGGCGGUCUUCCAAGUCAGUGGUGAAAGCCCGGAGCUCAACUCCGGAACUGCCAUUGAAACUGUAAGACUUGAGGAUGAGAGAGGUGAGUGGAAUUCCCAGUGUAGAGGUGAAAUUCGUAGAUAUUGGGAAGAACACCGGUGGCGAAGGCGGCUCGCUGGCUCAUUUCUGACGCUCAGGCGCGACGGCGUGGGGAUCAAACAGGAUUAGAUACCCUGGUAGUCCACGCCGUAAACGAUGAAUGCUAGCCGUUGGGCAGCUUGCUGUUCAGUGGCGCAGCUAACGCAUUAAGCAUUCCGCCUGGGGAGUACGGCCGCAAGG